UCGUGUCGUGAGAUGUUGGGUUAAGUCCCGCAACGAGCGCAACCCUUACCUCUUGUUGCCAUCAGGUCAUGCUGGGCACUCUAGAGGAACUGCCCCGGUCAGCGGGGAGGAAGGUGGGGAUGACGUCAAGUCAUCAUGCCCCUUACGUCCUGGGCUACACACGUGCUACAAUGGCCGGUACAAAGGGAUGCCACACCGCGAGGUAGAGCUAAGCCCAAAAAGCCGGUCUAAGUUCAGAUUGGAGUCUGCAACUCGACUCCAUGAAGGAGGAAUCGCUAGUAAUCGC
rnacentral:rRNA from 1 species